UGUCUAGGGGUUCAAACCUAAAGAACUCAAAUAUCUAAACGGAGAAAUUCAAUACUAUUCGCAAGAAUGGUGUGCACUUUUCUCUUAGUAGGACGUUGUGAUCCAUUAGGAAUCGAGUGGGUAUCUAAUGUUGCCCAUUCAAUAGGCUACCAAUAGGCGGGCAUUGAAGUUCACAUUGACAAACAACACGAUCCUUUGGUUGUGUAUAUUGUCUUGUGAGCGUGCCAUGUUCUGAUGUAGCUGCCUGAUGGUUUUUAAAGAUCGCAUAUUGAUGCUUGCAUCACCCAACUCGUUGGGCUAUUUAAAAUGCGUAUCCGAUCAACAACGCUUUCAUUUGGGAUACCUUUGGGACCCGUCUUGAAACACGGACCAAGGAGUCUAUCUAGUAUGCGAGUAAAUGGGAUGAAAAAACCUAUUUGCGUAAAUAACUUGACUGUAAUUUAAUGGGAUUACGUGUGUGUUUACUGUAUAGUGCAUGCACCUCCAUCCCGGAGUAUUUUCAUCACAUAUGUGAGCAAUUGCAUAUAGAAAAUAUAUCAUGAGCAUACUGGACAUGACCCGAAAGAUGGUGAACUAUGCCUGAUCAGGUUGAAGUCAGGGGAAACCCUGAUGGAGGACCGAAGCAAUUCUGACGUGCAAAUCGAUUGUCAGAAUUGGGCAUAGGGGCGAAAGACCAAUCGAACUAUC
rnacentral:rRNA from 2 species